rnacentral:rRNA from 1 species
UACGAAGGGUGCAAGCGUUACUCGGAAUUACUGGGCGUAAAGCGUGCGUAGGUGGUGAGUUAAGUCUGUCGUGAAAGCCCCGGGCUCAACCUGGGAAUGGCGAUGGAUACUGGCUCGCUAGAGUGCGGUAGAGGAGAGUGGAAUUCCCGGUGUAGCAGUGAAAUGCGUAGAGAUCGGGAGGAACAUCAGUUGCGAAGGCGGCUCUCUGGACCAACACUGACACUGAGGCACGAAAGCGUGGGGAGCAAACAGG